CAAGCAUCACCCUAUGCUGAUCAAAGAACAGCAGGAUAUGCUAUUCGUACAGUAGGUUUGCAACGAGCAGAAGUUAUGGUAAAGGGCGCUGGUAGUGGAAGAGAUGCCACAUUACGAGCCAUUGCUAAAAGUGGUGUGGGAUUAAGUUGUAUACGUGAUGUAACACCUAUGCCACAUAAUGGAUGUCAACCACCUAAAAAAAGAAGAAUUAACCCGCUUUCAACUUUCAGGAUAAAUAAACAAUUCAAUGAUAAAACAAUAAUACUACUCUAUUAUGGUUUGAGAGGAGGCAGCAGGAUUCACUCAAACACUACAGUGGAAGUCUGUUGA
rnacentral:rRNA from 1 species